rnacentral:misc_RNA from 1 species
AACGCAAUUUGCACCUCGUGGCUUCUUGUCACAAGGUAUACUUGUUUGAGUAUCAUAAACAUCCUCACCUCCCCGAAAGGGCGAAGUGGAAUUGGGGGUUCGUCAACACACUUGGCUGAUGACGUCCUCUAAAAUGCAAAGCUCGAUCUUGGAAGGUCUCCGUUUGGCUUGACUAGGCUAUUGGGAUAAUAUCCCCUGCAAUCGCCGGUCUUGCCUCCUCGACGUUGACCAUCCUGAGCUAACAAGGAAGCCCUGUUGGCCCAUCAUGGGUCCCCAGCGGUUCCACAUUGUGUUGGCCGGGUAUAAUGCAUACACGCCGCAUAAUUUUGAUAUUGAUCUCAAAUCAAGUAAGGGUACCCGCUGAACUUAA